AUUACUGACAGAGUAAUAUUUGAUUCCAAAAUCUAAUUUAAACAUCUUAAGGUUUAAUAGGUUCACUGCAUCAGUACAUCUAUAACAUGCAUUUAAAAAUCCAUGCUGGCUAAGUGCUUUGUGGUAAAGCUCUAUUUCUGAAGCUGUGUGUUUAUUUAGUGGUGGCUUUCUGUUUUAUUUAGCGAUAUUACCAUGUGAAAACAUUUGGUGAGCCUGUCCUCCGUGCCAAAGUAAAAUCUGAGGGAGUUUCAAGCAUAACUUGAAAGGCUAAUGGACACUACCCAAAGAUCAGGGAUGGUUCCCCCUAUUUAUGCUCACACAAACUUGAGAAGAGAGGAAUAACUACCUCCCGUUCUCACUAAUACAUUUCUCUGAUUUGAAUCUGUUCCUAAUUAAAAAUGCAGUAGGAUGAGUAAGUAUGUGAUAUGAUUUGGCUGUGUCCCCACCCAAAAUCUCAUCUUAAAUUGUAUCCCCAUAAUCCCCAAGUCAAGGGAGAGACCACGUGGAGGUAACUGACUCAUGCAGCUAUUUCCCUCAUGCUGGUCUCAUGACAGUGAGUUCUCAUGAGAUCUGAUGGCUUUAUAAGUGUUGCUAGUUCCUCCUGCAGUCAUUCUCCUGCCGCCUUAUGAAGAAGGUGCCUGCCUCCCCUUCACCUUCCACAAUGAUUGUAAGUUUCCUGAGGCCUUCCCCGCCAUACAGAAUUUCUCGUUCAAAGCCUUGGCUCUUUCCUUGUGACCUUUUCUUCCUCCGACUUCACCCCCACCUUCAUUUCCUGGGCCCCGUAUAACUCCUAUGACACUGUUAUGUGAUGUCCAGAGGUCAACAGAACAUGCUGGUGAGUUUUGGCUAAUUUGGAAAUAAUGAGAACCUCUCUUGGGGUGGUAAAUUCUUCAUUCCUGUUAGUUCUCCCAUGGACACACCUUGGUUUUUCUGAAAGUUGCACAACAUUGCUGAUUCACGUUCAGCCAUUCAGUGUGCAGACGCCAAACAGCAUAUGAUGUUUCAGUUGGCUCCACAUAGGAAACGUGGGCUUCCUGGCAGAACAGAGAUAGAGGUGAGGCUUUAAACUCCAGGCUCUGCUGCAAUGGCCAAUAACCCUCUUAUUCUAUACUCGCAAACUCUCUCAAGGAAAGACUCAAAACUUGUUCACAGAUCCACAAUACUGAGAUGUUGCAUUGAUUUUAAUGAGUCUUUUUGACUAAAUUGAUGUGUCCCCAUAAUGCGAGUGUUUGGAGGGCAAAAGGAGACAGGAAUUUGCUCUAACAUCAUGCCAGCUUAACUUCCACAUUAUGUCACUUCCAUCCAGGUGGCCAGUGGGUUCCAUUCCCUUUAAAAGAACCUGCUUCACACCCAUCACACUGCACUGAACCUUGCACAAGGCCACUCUGAGUGCCAGUAUUCCCUCUGCCCAGCCUCUGCUCUUCCCAGCUUUCCUGGUCUCAGGACUUCAAAGGGGGUUGAUUGUUUCUAAAAACUGUCCCAAUUUUCUAUCUUUCCCCGUAUUCACAUCUUUGUAAUGUGGCUCUGUAGCACCUCCCAUCAAGAGGUGGGUGGAGUUUACUCCCCUACCCCUUAAAUCUGGGCUGGCCUUUGUGACUUACUCUUCAGCAGAAAUGACAACAGGCCAGGUGCAAGCCCGAGCCUCAAGAGGUCUUGCACACUUCUGCUUCCUCUUGCAACCGCACAUCUGUUGUGAGAUCAAGCUUCUGGAGGAUGGAAGCAGAGCUGAGUCAUCCCAGCUGGAGCCAUCCCAGAACAGCUAGCUCCAGGCAACCAGCCUGCUAAUC
rnacentral:lncRNA from 13 species